rnacentral:rRNA from 1 species
GACGAACCGUGCGAACGUUGUUCGGAAUCACUGGGCUUAAAGGGUGCGUAGGCGGGUUGUCCAGUCUGGGGUGAAAUCCCACGGCUCAACCGUGGAAUUGCCUCAGAUACUGACGACCUCGAGGGAGGUAGGGGCGAGCGGGACUGUGGGUGGAGCGGUGAAAUGCGUUGAUAUCCACAGGAACUCCGGUGGGGAAGGCGGCUCGCGGGACCUCUUUUGACGCUGAGGCACGAAAGAUAGGGGAGCAAACGGG